GCUCGGGUGGUGGAACUGGCAGACACGUACGUUUGAGGGGCGUAUGCCGAAAGGCUUGCGGGUUCGAGUCCCGCCCCGAGCACGA
rnacentral:tRNA from 1 species